GGCUCAGAAUCAACGCUGGCGGCGUGCCUAACACAUGCAAGUCGAACGAGAAAGCGGGGGCAACUCCGUGAGUACAGUGGCAGACGGGUGAGUAACACGUGAACAACCUACCCUCGAGUGGGGAAUAACACCGCGAAAGCGGUGCUAAUACCGCAUAACAUCCUUGGAUCGCAUGAUUUGAGGAUCAAGGGCGAAAGUCGCUUGAGGAGGGGUUCGCGGCUGAUUAGCUAGUUGGUGAGGUAACGGCCCACCAAGGCAACGAUCAGUAGCCGGCCUGAGAGGGCGAACGGCCACACUGGAACUGAGACACGGUCCAGACUCCUACGGGAGGCAGCAGUGGGGAAUUUUGCGCAAUGGGCGAAAGCCUGACGCAGCAACGCCGCGUGGAGGAUGAAGGCCUUCGGGUCGUAAACUCCUGUCAGUAGGGACGAAUGCCUCGCAAGAGGUUUGACUGUACCUGCUGAGGAAGCCACGGCUAACUUCGUGCCAGCAGCCGCGGUAAUACGAGGGUGGCAAGCGUUGUUCGGAAUUACUGGGCGUAAAGGGCGCGUAGGCGGCAUGGCAAGUCAGAUGUGAAAUCCCCGAGCUUAACUUGGGAAUUGCAUCUGAAACUGCUUUGCUUGAGUCCUGGAUGGGGUAGUGGAAUUCCCAGUGUAGCGGUGAAAUGCGUAGAUAUUGGGAGGAACACCAGCGGCGAAGGCGGCUACCUGGACAGUGACUGACGCUGAGGCGCGAAAGCUAGGGGAGCGAACGGGAUUAGAUACCCCGGUAGUCCUAGCUGUAAACGAUGGGUACUUGGUGUUGGGGGUAUUGAGUCCCCCGGUGCCGGAGUUAACACGUUAAGUACCCCGCCUGGGGAGUACGGUCGCCAGACUGAAACU
rnacentral:rRNA from 1 species